rnacentral:siRNA from 1 species
CCUUGUGGGUAACGGGGGUGGA